rfam:Bombyx mori DNA, contig: Bm_scaf7_contig6138, strain: p50T/Dazao, build 2, whole genome shotgun sequence.
UUAACUUAAAUUUGUAUGAAGUUGAACCGUUUGCCUACGUUUGCCGCUAGGGGCGCUUUUCCAAAUACAUACAAAUUUGAGUUA